rnacentral:rRNA from 1 species
GGUUUCUUGAAGUUUUUAAGAGAUCUAACCUGCCCACUGAUAAUAAAUUUAAAGGGCCGCAGUAUUUUGACUGUGCAAAGGUAGCAUAAUCAUUAGUCUUUUAAUUAAGGGCUAGUAUGAAUGGUUGGACGAGGUGAAUUCUGUUUUAUGUUAAUUUAAAUUGAAUUUAGGUUUUAAGUAAAAAAACUUAAAUGUUAUUAAGGGACGAGAAGACCCUAUAGAGUUUAAUAUAUGUAGUAAUUAAUUGAGUUAAGAUUUAAUUUUUGGUUAUUAUGGAAUUUAUUUAAUUGGGGUGAUUAGGAGAUAGAUAAAACUCUUUUUAAGUUUUAAUAAUAUAAUUAGUUAUAUGAUCCAUAAUUAAUGAUUAUAAGAUUAAAUUACCUUAGGGAUAACAGCAUAAUUCUUUUUGAGAGUUCAUAUUGAGAAAAGAGAUUGUGACCUCGAUGUUGGAUUAAGAUUGGUUUUGGGUGCAGAUGUUCAAUAACUAGGUCUGUUCGACCUUAAAAAUCUUACA